GAUCGAAGGUUCCCUCGCUCAAGGGAACCAUGCGGGCAUCGAUCCAGUCGGUGAUGUAGACGUCGGAAUGGGGCAGCAGUGCUUCCACCGUUCCGCGCAACAGC
rnacentral:sRNA from 1 species